GCCAUGUCAUGCUGUCGAAACUUUUAUUGAUUUGGUGGGAUAUUGAUUAGUCACUACAGUGGUGGGUUUCCGUGGACCAGCCAAUUAGAGAGGGGCACGGUAAACCCAGUUAUAUGUUACCUCAAUACGAGAUGCGGAAGGUAUCUCCUGAGGUAAAGCUUUAGAGUUCACUUCACGUCGAACCACCAAGUGAGGGUGAACUCAGCCAACGCCAAGGAACGACUAUGUUUUAAAACGUACAAAUAUGAUUUAUGGAUAUAUGUUUUUUCUUUAACAGCCUUGGCGGACUCGGUUGGAUGCCUUUGAUCAAGGUAUCCUUGAGAAUGAGUUUUGGCACAAGCCAAGUUUUUAAGAAAUUCAUAAGCCAUGUUGAUUAUUUUAGUGAAAUGAAUUUAUUUUAUUUAGUUGAAAUGAGUUUGAAACGUUAUGAAUCAUAGUACGAUGAACUAUUUUAAGUUGUCUCCAUUUACUCGACUUUAGAUAUUUUAGAUGAUAUUUGUUUACUCACUGAGUUUAUAUAAACUCACCACCCUGCUUUCCACUCAUUCCAAGCUCAGAACAAUAAGUAAAUAGCUGAUUACAUCAAGGGUUAUUAUUGGACUUGCCUCCUCAGAAAUUGUAGGUCCACAGCCUUUAUUACCUUUGGUCAUUCAGGGACCCACACGUCAUUGUAAAUUAAAUUACAUACUCUGGUUAUCUGUGUUACCGUAUAUAUGAAUUUAUUUUGCUUUUAUGUUGUAAAAAUUUUUCAUGUAGCGUUUUAUAAAUAUUGUUUUAUAAGAAAAUGGAAUAUUUUAUUUAAUAUUUUUAUUUUAUUCUAUUAGCUACAAUUUCACUCUAAAUGAAUGUUUUAGACAAAAAAACUUGUUUUUAGUUAUGAAAUGUGUAUUUUCCCCCAUGUGUUAUAUUUUUAGCAAGUUUCAAAACUUUUAGAAAAAAUGACCAAAAUGCCCUUGUGAGAUAAAAAUUAUUUUUUUUAUUUUUUUAUUGUUUCGUUUUGGAAAUAGCUUAUAAUCUUUUAAAAUAUGAUGUUUAGUCAUUAUUGCUCACAGGGGAGGUGUGAAAACUAAUAUUAAGCCUUUCGAGGUUUCGGUUGGUAUUUCG
rnacentral:lncRNA from 1 species